rnacentral:rRNA from 2 species
UACGUAGGUGGCAAGCGUUGUCCGGAUUUAUUGGGCGUAAAGCGAGCGCAGGCGGUUCCUUAAGUCUGAUGUGAAAGCCCACGGCUCAACCGUGGAAGGUCAUUGGAAACUGGGGAACUUGAGUGCAGAAGAGGAGAGUGGAAUUCCAUGUGUAGCGGUGAAAUGCGUAGAUAUAUGGAGGAACACCAGUGGCGAAGGCGACUCUCUGGUCUGUAACUGACGCUGAGGCUCGAAAGCGUGGGGAGCAAAC